ensembl:lincRNA
UUGCAUUUCAUAAAGACUGAGGGGGUUCUGUACUAUGGAAAGCUGAUCUUGAAGACUGAGAUGCCUAUGAAAUGAGAAAGGCUAAAUAGAUAACAUCCAUGGAGAAAUAGGAGGAUGGCCUCUGUAUGGGUUGGAGGAGUCUUGCCUGUGAAAUGUUUCCAAGAGUACAAGCCCAGUAGCAGCACUGAUUGCAAAAGAGGAAACACACUCGCUUCAGCCUGCACCAACCAAAAUGACUGCUCAAAGGCCAUUCAGCCCCUUUAUCACUGUGGCUCAACUUUGAUUUUCUUCCCAGUUCAUCCAUGAUUCAGACUUCUUCUGUUUCAGGAGCUUUGCCCAUGCGUUCUGCCACCUUCUGCCAGGAAUUACACCUGUCCCACCCCGUCAAGUCUCCUGAAUGUCCAGGUAAAGAUUUAUUUUUCCUUUGGGUCUCAAAAAUGUAUUCUAGUCACCCUUCACUAGAUAUGGAUUCCCUG